GGCUGGAAGAGAAAAACCUUUUUACAGGGAGCCCUAGGAAAUCAGGCCCAUUUCUCUAUUAGAUUUAUGAAGCUUACAGUGGAAGCAAACGUCUCUUUACUCAGGGAAUAUUCUUGUCACAGCUGGCCAUAGCCCUCCAGUCAUGAUUUGAGGCAGGAUGCUAUUUUGAUGUGCUCACUGAUCACACUUUUCGUGCCUGCCAUGUCCUUUUUUGACUCUGUGGGCCUUCCUCAUUCAAAUUGGAGCAAAAAAAUCUUCAUCCAGUGAGGAUUGUUAUGCCAUAAGUAGUAGCAAAAAAGAUGAACACACUUGAUUUUCUAGUUUUAAGAAAAUAUUGGAAGGAUUCUGACCUAUCUGAGAGACAACGUUUCUUUAUGACACUGGACCACUGAGCGAAUCAGACAUAAAGUGAGAGAUUUAGAAGCUGGAGAGGCUUUCAAAAGGACUCAGGAUUCCAAGAACAUCUCACAAGUUUAGGUAUGGGAGAGCACAAAAGCUCUGGGUGUCUUCCCUUUCCUGGAAUGGAUUUAGAAAACCCUCAAGUUCCCUAAAGUCUCCCCAGUCUCGGAGGCUGCAAGGGCAGUUGUGUGAAAUGGCUGCAGAAGUGUUUAGGAUGAAGGCCCUGAGGCGGUCUCAUCAUACUUUCUGGAGCCAAGAGUGAUGGAUGGAGACACAGCUGAGUCAGAGAAAGCCUGCAGUGAGGGGAGAAGGAAGCACCGUUUCCUCUAAACGGAAGAAAUUUAGCAACUGGAAGUUAAGACUGGAUUAUCGAAGAUGAAGGUUUGGAGAGAGAAGUCGCAGUGUCGUCCACGGGAGCAGGAGAAGGUGGUGAAGGAGAAGAUGUGAUGAUGAGGACAGAGCUUGUGGGAAAGGCCUCAGGGAGGCAGCUACGGGAAAAGAGCCAAGCUAGGUAAAGAGGCAAGGGGACAGACGUCGAUAAUCACCUUGACUCGACAGGAAAGGAAUUUUCUAAGUGACUGUCUACUCCUCUCAGCUUUAAAGCUAAUUAAGAGUGAAUCACAACAGUUCUGAGGCCUAGUGUCAGCUGCGCGUUACAUUUUAAACAGUUAACCCGCAAGAAAACAAAUCACCUUCUCACAAAGUUUCUUUACUCUGUAUAUUCAAUUCCUGCAAGCCUGGAUAUUAGACUUCCCUAAUAAUCCACCGAUGAUUUCAAGUAGUAAAUCAGGAAGAUAGUCAAUGUUCUAGAAUUAAAAUAAAACAUAGGAAUAAGUAAUGUAUGAAACCAUGUCUACAGUGAAGAACGCAGAAAACUAUCCGGAGGAGAUAAAAACCAGAAAAAAAAUUUUAAAAAAAAGAAGCAGUGUUUAGUAAGGGUACAUAAACAGCCUCAGAUAUUCCCAUAGCUCUGAAUCCAUUACCUAGAGUACAAAUUUUAAAGAUCUAAGUUAUUUCUAGUGUUGUUUCAGAAUCUGCAUUUUAAAAAGUCUGAUUAACUCGGGCAAAGAAGUCAGGAAAGUAUGCAGUUCUUUUUAGAAUAAAUAUUCAUCAAAAGUAUUGUCUACUUAAAGGAAUAUGUGAAAAUAAUGAGAAAUUUUAUUUAUGUGGAGCAGUUUGAUGCCAAAGUAACUUAAUUUGCCCAGCACUUCAGGCAAUAAGGAUUUUUCUUGAGGUGAUAGUAAUGCAAAAUAUACAUGUCUGCUAAUAUAUCAGCACAGAUUAGUGUCUCACAGCUUGGCCUCUGGAGUCAGAUUAUUGGCCUGGAAUCUCAUAUCUGAUGCUCACUGAUAUAUGACUUUGUACAAGUUUACUAACACCUCUCUGCUUCGGUUUCCUCAUCCAAAAAGAGAAUAAUAAAUAUAAUAU
ensembl:lncRNA